rnacentral:rRNA from 1 species
GACGAACGCUGGCGGCGUGCUUAACACAUGCGAGUCGAACGGUGAAGCGCCUUCCUUUUUGGUGGGUGUGGAUGAGUGGCGAACGGGUGAGUAACACGUGAGUCACCUGCCCCCUUCUUCUGGAUAACCGCAUGAAAGUGUGGCUAAUACGGGAUAUUCUGGGUCUGUUGCAUGAUGGGUCUGGGACAGAUAUUGUUUCGGUGGGGGAUGGGCUCGCGGCCUAUCAGCUUGUUGGUGGGGUGAUGGCCUACCAAGGCGGUGACGGGUAGCCGGCCUGAGAGGGUCGACCGUCACACAGGGGCUGAGACACGGCCAAGACUCCUAGGGGAGGCAGCAGGGGGGAAUAUUGCACAAUGGGCGGAAGGCUGAUGCAGCGACGCCGCGUGAGGGAUGGAGGCCUGCGGGUUGUGAACCUCUUUCGCCAGUGAAGCAGGCCUGCCUCGUUUGUGGGUGGGUUGACGGUAGCUGGAUAAGAAGCGCCGGCUAACUACGUG